AGCGAACGCUGGCGGCAGGCCUAACACAUGCAAGUCGAACGGAUCCUUCGGGAUUAGUAGCGGACGGGUGAGUAACACGUGGGAACGUGCCCUUUGGUUCGGAACAACUCAGGGAAACUUGAGCUAAUACCGGAUGUGCCCUUCGGGGGAAAGAUUUAUCGCCAUUGGAGCGGCCCGCGUCUGAUUAGCUAGUUGGUGAGGUAACGGCCCACCAAGGCGACGAUCAGUAGCUGGUCUGAGAGGAUGAUCAGCCACACUGGGACUGAGACACGGCCCAGACCCCUACGGGAGGCAGCAGUGGGGAAUCUUGCGCAAUGGGCGAAAGCCUGACGCAGCCAUGCCGCGUGAAUGAUGAAGGUCUUAGGAUUGUAAAAUUCUUUCAGCGGGGACGACAAUGACGGUACCCGCAGAAGAAGCUCCGGCUAACUUCGUG
rnacentral:rRNA from 1 species